CGCUUGUCUGUCAUAAAUUAUUCUUCGACAUUGACAGUUAUUAGUGCAUAAUUCGUAUUUAGAUACAUUUUUUGUUGGCAAUUCUUUGGAAAUAAACACAUUCAACGAUAUUCGUGUAUACGGGAAAAGUGGAUAUGAUCUCGCCCAAGAGUGCAUCCGAAUGACAACUUCCCACACAGCGAUUAAUGUUAAGACUUGGUGGAAAAAGAAAUCUCUUACUGAUACUGUCACCUAGUUGUUUAAGAUUUAUACUCCAAUCUUCUAAGUGGCAAGUUUUGUCAUUUCUAAUUAUAAAAAGAAAGAAAAUACUAAUUUAUAUACUACGAAAAAUGAAUGAAUUAAUUAAUAUAAAAAGGAGAAGGGUGUAAAAAAGUUAAUAGCAUUCUUAACUGCUUUUAAUGUAUACUUAAGACACUAAAUUAAUGAUGAUGAAGUGUAAUGACCCAAGAACAUAUGUUUACUUUCGCAAUUUCGAAGAAAUGAGCUUUAAUCGAGGAGCAUUUUUAUGAAGAUCCAAGAUUUUUCCAAGGGCCAUCCUUCCAUCUAAACUCCUAAUCUUCAAUUUCCAAACGAUAUGAAUACCGUCCACCAUCCAUUUGGGAUACUUUACUCUCACGCUGAUCCGUCGAUGGCGAAAUGACAAGAUGAUUUUUUUCUUUUUUUGAACUUCCGUGGUCAUCCCAUUUGACAUUGAUACGGCACUAUCAACACGUAACCGAUAAAACUGAUUAAGAGCCUCACUUUUCAAGUUUACAACCAACUUAAGGCUAGAAGUAUAUGUUGACCAUUCACCAAGGAUCGCAAAAUUCAUUCUCACCACGUUUUUCCUAACUAAGGCAUAAUACAAAGUCGACGUUAGUAAUAUUGCAAUACUAGCUUGGAUGAUUACCUUGGACUUCGGAAGGAAAAAGGGUUUGAUUUUUAUAGUUUUCUGAAGAAACCUCCAUGAAAAUAUAUGUGAGAAAAAAGUGAGUUAGUAUAAGCUUUCCCAUGAUAUAAAAAUGAACUGUGUAAAUGAGAAAUCAAAUAUGAAUUGAUUAACUUGAUACCUAUGUUUUAUCAUAUCUAAUUCACAAGGGAGAAGUAAAUAAUAUGUAAGUAAACUGAGAAAUUUAAAAUAUAUUAUUAUUUUUUAUUUCUGGAAGAAUCUUGAAAGAUUGGUGACUUUUUUAUAAUUAAUACAAUAAAUAUAAUAUAAUAUAUAUAUAUAAACUGUCUUUAUUUUUUUCCAUAGAGGAAAUGUUUCAGAUUGAUCGAUAAAUACAUUUUUCAAGCAGCAAAAUCAUGUCAAAACCUCUUUUACAAUUACAAGAAGGAUGAAAAACAUUAAAAAUAUUUUAAAUAAAAUUAAUUGAUGUAAGUAAGCACACUUCAAUAAAAAAAGAAAUUUAAAGACCCAAGAGUUCCACAAAAACUUGAUUAAAAAAAAACUAAUCUAAAAUAGCAUAAAGGGCGUGGAAAACUUAUGUCGAAAAAUAAAUUCUUUUUUCUUAUUCUCCUAUAGUUGAAAUGAAAAUGUCGUUGGGUUAUUUAAAAGAAUAUAUCAUUCAAGAGCCUCCUUCAAAUGACGGUGCACGGAGCAUCAUGAAUUGGUAAAAGGUUGAUAAAAGGAUUUCGCUUGAAAUUGUAAAUCUUUCUCUCAGUAGACGCGACACUCGUUUAUAUCAUGUUUUUUAUUGGUUUUUUAUUUUUUUUUUAAAUUUAAUUUUUUUAUUGUAAAAAGGAUAGAAGGGGCAAGUUUUGUGUGUGUAUGUGGAGAGAGUACAUUGGGAGGGAGAUGAAUAUCACAACUAAAAAAAAGUUAUUUUGAAUAGCGUUAUAGACAUUAUUAUUAACUCGAGAUGUGUUCAGUUCUGUAUCGAUGAGGCAGAUGAACGACUUUGACGAGACUCCCACCAUCCCAUAAUACAAGUAGGAAUGGGUAAACUAUAUUCUCUUGUUAGGGGUUUUGCCGGUACCAUUUUUUCGAAAUAUUGGAAAAUUGGGAACCACCACAUAGAGCCCAAGUAAUUUUCCUCAUCCGAUUUAACUCGCAAAUUUUGAUUGUGUGCUAAUGUAUGGUAUAUCCACCAAAGACGCGUAGUAAUAUAAUAAGCAAUCAAAACGUCGAUGCUAUAAUGGCCCCUCGCCAAAAGUAGAGUUAUAAUGCCCGUGAGAGUGAUUAUUAGAGAAAACCAAUGAAGAAGGAACCAUCUUUUUGGAGAAUCUGAGAGAAAGUGUAUUUUAUAUUGAGUAAUUAUAAUGAAAAUAGAUUUCAUAUUUGGGAGGGUUGGAGACUUACAUUCUUUUAUAACUAAAUAAGUCAUGAUGAGACUCAUCGUAUGUCCAGAAUAAAUAUAAUCCCCACAGUAAAUGUGUUGGCCAUUAAUAGAAAGACCCAUUCCAGAUAGCAGCUUCAGGACCCGCUGAGCUAUUUCUAAAAAUGUCAUCUUGUCUAACUUAGGUGCACAUUUGUAAUUAGGAUCCGCCUUUGGUAAGACGGUAAUGUACAUGGUAAUAGCCCUGUAGUAAUAGUGUAUU
rnacentral:lncRNA from 1 species